GAAACCAACUGGGAUUGCCUUAGUAACGGCGAGUGAAGCGGCAAAAGCUCAAAUUUGAAAUCUGGUACCUUUGGUGCCCGAGUUGUAAUUUGGAGAGUACCACUUUGGGACUGUACUUUGCCUAUGUUCCUUGGAACAGGACGUCAUGGAGGGUGAGAAUCCCGUGUGGCGAGGGUGUCAGUUCUUUGUAAAGGGUGCUCGAAGAGUCGAGUUGUUUGGGAAUGCAGCUCUAAGUGGGUGGUAAAUUCCAUCUAAAGCUAAAUACAGGCGAGAGACCGAUAGCGAACAAGUACAGUGAUGGAAAGAUGAAAAGAACUUUGAAAAGAGAGUGAAAAAGUACGUGAAAUUGUUGAAAGGGAAGGGCAUUUGAUCAGACAUGGUGUUUUGCGCCCCUUGCCUCUCGUGGGCUUGGGACUCUCGCAGCUCACUGGGCCAGCAUCGGUUUUGGCGGCCGGAAAAAACCUAGGGAAUGUGGCUCUGCGCCUCGGUGUAGAGUGUUAUAG
rnacentral:rRNA from 1 species